rnacentral:rRNA from 1 species
UUUGAACGCUGGCGGCAUGCUUUACACAUGCAAGUCGAACGGUAACAGGCCGCAAGGUGCUGACGAGUGGCGAACGGGUGAGUAAUGCAUCGGAACGUGCCCAGUCGUGGGGGAUAACUACUCGAAAGAGUAGCUAAUACCGCAUACGAUCUAUGGAUGAAAGCGGGGGACCGUAAGGCCUCGCGCGAUUGGAGCGGCCGAUGUCAGAUUAGGUAGUUGGUGGGGUAAAGGCUCACCAAGCCAACGAUCUGUAGCUGGUCUGAGAGGACGACCAGCCACACUGGGACUGAGACACGGCCCAGACUCCUACGGGAGGCAGCAGUGGGGAAUUUUGGACAAUGGGCGCAAGCCUGAUCCAGCAAUGCCGCGUGCAGGAAGAAGGCCUUCGGGUUGUAAACUGCUUUUGUACGGAACGAAACGGCUCUGGUUAAUACCCGGGGCUAAUGACGGUACCGUAAGAAUAAGCACCGGCUAACUACGUG